rnacentral:rRNA from 1 species
UACGGAGGGAGCUAGCGUUGUUCGGAAUUACUGGGCGUAAAGCGCGCGUAGGCGGCUUUGUAAGUUAGAGGUGAAAGCCCGGGGCUCAACCCCGGAACUGCCUUUAAGACUGCAUCGCUUGAAUCCGGGAGAGGUGAGUGGAAUUCCGAGUGUAGAGGUGAAAUGCGCAGAUAUCGGGAGGAACACCAGUAGCGAAGGCGGCACUCUGGGCCGGUACUGACGCUGAGGAGCGAAAGCGUGGGGAGCGAACAGG